CUGGGCAUGACAACGCAGGACAGGGCCAGGGUGGUGGAGCUGUGGAUUCAUGUGGCCGAGGUAAGUCAUGGGAGGCCCAUGGAGGCCCUGUCUGGAAUCAUGGGAAUUGCCUCUUGUUUCUCAGCUGUCGAUAUUGAAGUCUGUGGUCUGAAUCCCUGCACUGGUCCUAGACACUCCUGCCAGGGCCACACUGACCUUGACUUGAAGUCCUGGUGGUGGCAAGCUCACUUCUUUCCUGUGCUCCUUCCUUGUGUUCAGCUAAAAAUCCUUGUGCCUGGCAGUGUUACUCCUCAGGUCCCAGGUGUGCCCUCCCUGGGUUUCCUGGGCAUCUGUCUCAUCCAGGACAGGAGAAGUCCAUGAGGGGACAGAAUCCAGAGCUGGAGAGCUCCAGCCCCCACUCACAGCUCAAUCUCUUCCCUUCCCCAGGGGUGCCUAGGCCUCAGAAAUUUCUCAUCGUUCCACAUGAUCCUUUCUGCUCUGCAGAGCCCUGCCAUUAAGCGUCUCAAAGACACCUGGGGACAAGUAUCCAGGUGGGUAGGCUGCUCUCUAUCCAAGCACCACGAGGGGGAGGUGGACCUGGCAGCCGGCAAUGGGUCGCCAUGGCCCCCGCAGUCAGCUGAGACCACCUGGGAGACAGUGAAUGCCUGGGACACAGACUGAUCCAGUUCCUGGGUCUCUGAGCCUCUCAGGGCCCUUAGGCCAGCGGUUCUGCCCAGGAACUCAUUUCCUUCAAUAUCAGAUCCUGACUUGAGCCCAGUUGGAGAUUCUCAAGUGUUUCCUUUGCAGCAACAGAAAUCUCCAUCCAACUGAAACCAAGAGUGUUCAAAACAGAUCUGUGUGGUAGAUAUGGGAAUGGAGGCCCCAGGUGACAACAGGAGAGGCCCCUCCCCAGUCCCAUGGGGACCUCGGGGCUCAGAGCAACCCAGUGAAAUCCCUCAUCCAGGCCCCAGGCUGUUUGGAUCUUUUGGGAUCUAAAACAAAUGGGAUUUGCCCUUCAACCAUCCCAUAGUCUUUCUUUCUUUCUUUCCCCACUCCCCCAGGGAGAGAUCCUACACCUUUAAGAAGUGGUGCAGGGGAGAGCAGCACGUGAGCAUGAGACUGCUCCUGAAGCACUGACAGGAGGCGAGCUCCGUGUUGGCCACUGCACAGAGGGCCCGCCAUGGAGCCCAGUAGAGGCG
rnacentral:lncRNA from 1 species